rnacentral:ncRNA from 2 species
GAAUUGAAUAACUGUUUAGGUGUGUGCUGCGUACAACAGCGCCUUAAAAGGGAAAUGGGUGUAAACCCCAUGCGGUCCCGCCACUGUAACGGUGAGCUGCCUAUAUAUUCCACUGAGGAUAGGAGACUGGUGUCAACCCCUUGGGAAGGAUUAGGAAAGCGAUGAACCUGAGCCAGGAGACCUGCCUAAAAUGAUUAUGCAAA